rnacentral:lncRNA from 1 species
CGUGAAUCCCAGGGAAGCCAUGAGCUGCCACAUCACGCCCGGAAGGAAGCGGGCUGCGUUGGAGGGGCGCAAUCCGAGCAAAAGACAGGCACCACAGGAGCCAGAUGGGCCAAGAAGAAACAGAAGUUCAGUAGGAAGAGACGGAUAAACAGCAGACACCAAGCAAGCAGCCAAGCAUAUGCUUUGCAAGCAGGCAACACAAGCACCCACCUCAGAAACAUGGAGCUGCAGCCGGUGCUGGCAAGGAAAAGCAGCGUUUGGCAGGGUGGAAGGAAAGAGUGCUUAUGCUGGUGCCCGAGAGAUUGGUCUCUGGUAGAAGAAACAUAGCCCCAGACUUGGAAGCCCGAAUAGCCACGUGCUGUCUCCAAGACUCAGAGCAGAGACCCCUAAAGCUGAACCAGAUUCAGAAGAGGAGCAGAG